UUCAACUUUUCACACGAGACGUGUAAUUCUUUUUUAUUCACUUCACCACCGAAUCACGCACUCAAAGCUAACCUAUAUCUAUAUCAAAACAAAAUUGAAACUUUAUCAAGAACCCCUGUUUUCAUACUUCUGAGUCUGACCUAACUCGUCCUUUCUUAGAAUAAAACAAUUUCUUCUUUCUUAAACACUUGAAGUUCCUUGAACUCACUCAUCUACUAAAUUUUCCAUUAUUAAAAAUUACUCUGAUUAGAAAAAAAUUGAUUUGCUUUAAGUCUGGUUUCGCGACCGACGUACUCUUCCCGUUACUAUUGACUCCCUUGAGUCCUCGAUCGAUAUUUUUUUCUUCCGUUACUAACGAUUCCCUUGAAACCCUGAUCGAUACUGCCUUAUUUUUUUUAUUCAUUUUCCCAAUAGAUCUCUCACAGAGAAGCUUAGUUGAGAGAAUUAAAAGUAAACUCAUGUUAUUUACCAAUUAUUUUUCCAAAGAAUUAUUCCGUUCAAAAAUAUUAGAUAAUCUCAACUGCGUAUCAACCUUGGAAGACAAAUUUAAAAACCGUGUUAACCAUUCAAUUCAUGUGACAAUAAUGAUUCAUUUAUUUGAAGUUCGAGACAAAGAAACUGCUUAAAGAUCUAGUUAUGAGUUAUCGACAUUCGAACUUCUCACACUGCGUAGAAUUUGGUUCGAUUCAAUUUGAAAGGUGUUACCAAUUUCCCAUUUAUUACACUCUGUCAGGUCCCCCUUGACGUUGGCAAACACUAUGGCGAGUUGAUCUCUGCUUUCAGCCACUGCAAACAUUACAAUACAUAAUAAAACAUACAAAUACAUCCAAAUCUGUUAAUUUGAUCAAAGUUUCAUUUUGCAUUUGGUGCAAACUUUGUCAAUGGUGUUUGAUAUCCGAUAGACUGGUGUGUUCUGUUGUACGCAUCUAUAGAUGCAUCAAUAGCAAUCUCCCACAUACUCUUAGGUAGUCUGGAAUCAAACAUGUAUGUACGAACCUCUUUGGAACGUCCUCUCCGCUACACCAUUAUGUUCAGGUGUAUAUGGAGCUGCAAACUCGUUCUCUAUAUUUUCUCUACUCAGUACUUCUAGGUAUUUCCUUUCGGUAAAUUCUGUACCUUGAUCUAACCUGAUAUUACAUACCUUAUCAUUUUUCUCCAACAAGUUUCUUGUUGAUAUUAAGAAUUUCUCUCAUGCUUCAGCCAACUCAUCUUUUAUUUUUAAUGAAUAGGAUUUAGCAAGUCUCGAAUAGUAGUCUAUGUAGACGUUAAUGAAUCUUUACUGAUCUGGAUGAGAUGGUGGUUUAAUAAGUCCCAUUCUGUCAGUGUGUGUCAACUGAAGUUGUUUCUCAGCUCUCAUUCUCGUCUCUUUAAAAGGUAGUUUCUCCAUUUUCGACAUGAUACAUACUUCACAUUCUAAAAUGCAGUCGUCAAAUAUGACGUUCUAGAGUUUUUCGUUUAACUUCUGCAUUCUUUUCAAAUAGUUAAGUGAAGCAUGUCCAAGUCUACAAAGCCACAACAUUGAUUUUUCCUGAAUUACAAUAGUUAUUAUCGAAUGGACUUACGACACAUAAUUCCUUUAAGUUUUGAAGUGAUUCCAAGUCAUCGAUCUUAAUUACAUCUCUACUGAUAUGACUGCAAUCCCAAUUUUUCUCUUUUUGCUCAGAUUUUGUUCUGUCGGUUGAAACUUGUAGAACUUUCUCUUCAGGUGAAGAGAUGAGAUUAUAUUCUUCCUCCCUCCCACUCGCAGAUUCCGGUUCUCCCUCCGAACCUAAUAACUCGUUAUUGGAAUUUGUCUGCGAUUGCAAGCUCAUCUCAUUUUCUUCGCUUAUCGUUGCUCUGUAACAGUAAAUUUUAAGUGAGAAUCCCGUUCGGUUUUUCAUACUGACUCUCUGAAACAAUCUCAUUCUUUACCUUAUCGUUAACUCUUAGGAAUUGGACUUGUUCUCGAAAACAAUCUCAUUAUUAACCUUAUUGUAAACUCUUAGGACUAGAAAUUGUUCUCUGAAACAAUUUCAUUAUUAACCUUAUUGUAGACUCUUAGGACUUGGUCGUCUACGUAUAUAUUGAACCCAGAGUCUGCGAGUUUACGUAAGGAAAGCAAAUUCUCAGAAAUCUCUCUGGCUGCAAAUACAUUUUGCAAUUUCUCAGUAUUCUCAUCUCUAGAAACUGAAUAUAUGAUUAACUCACCUUUACCAUCGAUUACAAUGUCUGCUAUCUCGUUUUUAUUAGCACCAAUCUUUGUACUCGUAUUUUGACAUCUCUCAAAGUUUCUCAAAAUCAGACUAUCAUUUACGAUAUGGUCUGUUGCUCCAGAAUCUGCAAGGAAGUUAAUAGUUGGAUCAAGCUUACUUGUUUUAAUUUUAGGUUCUAUCUCCAGGACAUCUUCACCUAUUUUCAAAAGAUGUUCAUUUGAGGUCAUAGGAUUUAUUUCUGCUUCAUCAUGCUGUUUAUUUUUUCCUUGAUUACCCGUUAUAACCUUCCAUAUUUCCCUGGUUUCGUUUGAUGAGUUCUCAACUUUUUUUAGAUUUUCUUUCCUCUUCAUUCCAACCAAUUUUUUCCUGUAUAAUCUUUUACAAUCAUUUUAUGCUUUUCCACCAUCUGAAUCUCUUUUUAUAUGAUGUAUCACUGAAAGCACAUCUAACCUGUUCUUCAAUUCCUUGAUCUCCCUGUUUUUCUUCAGCUUUGACACACAAUAUCCUUCCGCAACUUUUAGAACCGUUUGAGGGCAAGUUAACUCAUAGCUCCCUAGAAUUUGAGUCCAGAACCGGUCAAAGAUCUGUCCCGCAGAUAAGUCGGAAUAUACGAAAUCACAGCACUGACUUAUGAGUACCUCAAGGUUCCAUUAACAUACCAGAACAUCGCAACACCUGUCCCCUAAGGUCCCAAAUAUGUGUUUCUAUUGUACAUGGAUCAGAGUCUGUAUCACUAUAAGAAUAUAUAUUAUCAAUUUAA